GCCGCCGAAGGCAGGACUUAUAACUGGGGUGAAGUCGUAACAAGGUAGCCGUAUCGGAAGGUGCGGCUGGAUCACCUCCUUUCUAAGGAA
rnacentral:rRNA from 1 species